CUCCUUGGUGGUCUUUGGGGACUUCGCAAUCUGGGCACAACAGCGGGAGGCUCCCUUCCUGGCCCAGACUCCUUCCGAAAAGCUAACCGAGGGGCUGUCAGCCUCAGGUCCCUCCUACCACUCCCAAGAUCCCCACCUGAGAGGAGAAUGAGCUACUCUGGCUCACAGGGUGGAGCCUGUGGCUCCUGGGGAGUCGGGCCUGUGGGGGCCUCCAGCACAGCACGGCGGGAAUGCGAGGCGACCAGAGCUGCCCACACUGGGGCCUGAUGCGAGAGGAAGGGGGAAGAGGCUGGGUCCCGAGCCCUUCCCAGGCCCAGGAAGCAGCAGACCUCCCACGGCCCCCUUAGCAGACCUACCUCUCCCGCAGUACCAAGCAGGGCCCGGGCCGAGCGCGGGGCCUGGACACGCCUCGGGGUGCCUGUGUCAGCAGCGAGCUGCCUCGCGGGUUCCCGCUGAUUAGGAACCGUGGCUUCAGAGGGGAGAUCAUGCUCUCGGCGUUGUGCAGGUUUAUUGAACACCUAUUUGCUCCGCGAGGUGUCAGAGGCAUGGUGUAAGAGACUAGCAGAAGAGCCCAGCCAGUCCUGGGAGUUUAGAGACAAGCAGGCAGGAGCCAAGGGCUCGCACGAACACACGUGAGCUCCUGGUGUGACAGAUCUCGUGUGGGCUGCCUGCCUGGCAGUGGAGGCUUCCACAUGGGCAGAUUUGACUCAGGUAGAGGGCAGUGAGAAGUGGAAAGGGGAUUUGGAGGAGCAGGAGGAAGAGGAGCAGGGGGAGGAGGACCAGCAGGAGGAGCAGGAGGAGGAGGAGCAGGAGGAGGAGGAUGAGCAAGAGGAGGAGGUGGAGCAGGAGGAGGAGCAGGAGGAGGGGGGGUACUAACUGGGCGUGAGAUGAGGGACAGGUGGAGAAGCCAAUGGAAAGGCCAUUUGGCUGAGGAUGUGGGUGAGCUCAGAGGCAGGGAUCCUUCAGGCUGGAAGCUAGGCGAGGCUGCAGCACGGGGCAGAGAGGGGCAGAGCAAGCUCUGGUGUCAUCCAGUCACUGGUUGGAGGAAGCAGGUGGCCGGAUCGGGGUUCUGCGAUGUCCGAAGGAAGUUGAUGCAGGGAAUCAGGUAGGAGACCCUGCUGCUGCCACUCCCUAUGCCCAGUGCUGAGCUGCCAGGUUCAAUGUUGCACGGCGUGGGCCUUGAAGUGCCACAUGGCAGCCCCCAGUCAGGUCCAGUUUCUAGGUGUCAGUUAAAAAUUAAAACAGGAAAAAGGCCGGCAGCCAGGUGCCAGCCUCCUGAGGACGCUGGGCCUGCUCACGACUUGCUGAGAAGCGGCGCUCAGCGAGCAGCACUCGGAGACCUCGGUGGUGAGGACAGCCAGCCACGACCACGCCAGUCCACGCUUGCUGCGGAUUGAAGCCCAGCACCCGUGCCAGCCUCGGGUCUCCGGGCGGGGUCCUGAGUCGAGGACCCCGGUCCUGCGGUGGAACCGCAGAGGCCCGAGCAUACUGGGUCACGCCGAGUGACCGCGAGUGAAGGCCCAGGUGUCCUGGCCACCAGCCUGCCCAGCUCCACUGCACUGUGCCAGGCGAGCAAGAUCCGUGCUUUCAGGUGAGGGACCUCCUCCUCGGCGGAGAAGAAAGCCACACCAGGGAACGUGGCUUCCAGGGUGGCCACACACAACGUGGCCUGCAUUUCACAGGGCUGCACAAAGGGGUCCGUUCCCCGCACCAGCUGUCGGCAUGGAACUGGCUCCGGAUGAGCGGGUCUGACUGAGCCUGGCCUGCUGCUGACUCACGCCUCUGCUAUGGACGAGUCACUCCACGUCCUGCAUGCCUCAGUGCCCCUAUUGUGAUGCCAGUGGCCACCGGCCUUCCCUGCCAGAUGGGCAGGCAGCGCCAGGAUGUGGGGCAGGCACCUCAGCCCCGCGCUGAGCACCAGCCCUCGAUUCCUGGCCCUGCAGGAGGACGGUGGUGAGGAUCGGCCUUGCCUGCCGGGGAAAGGGGCUGGCCUGGAAGGCAAGCUUGCCACACUUUGCUUCAAAUGUCUUCUGCUCUGCCACGACGAAGGACAAACCGAGUCAUCUGUAGGAAAAUGGGUGCAUCUGGAGACCAUAAUGCCAAGUGAAACGCAUCGCACGCAGCUUACACAUCGCAUGGCUUCUCAAGUGUGAGAAACUUGAAAGGUCGUGGGCUUGGAAGGUCCUGAAAACCUGCUCAGGACUGUUAUCCUCAGCAAUGUGGAGAGAGGAAUGAGACCUGAGGGCUGUUGUCCCUGAAGAGCUCCAGAGGCCACAACCAAUGGGACCAGUGGGAGAGCAGCAGCCAGCAGAGGAGGCUACGGCCUCUCAUGAGCUGGUGUCCACUGGGGGCAUCCGUGUGGACUUACGAUUUCUGUUUGAGUGGAGCAGCAGAAUCCUCAACUACUUAGAGACAGGGUGGCCUGGAGAGGUUUCUGGGGUGGCAUUUGAACUAAGAGCCGAAGGGUAAGAAUUCAGCCACAGAAGGGACUUGAAAUACUGCAGGAGUGGAAAGGAAGCAAGAUUGGCUGCAGUGGUGCAUGUGUGUAACUGUGUGUGUGUUUGUGGGCUGUGUGUGUGCACACGUGCACCCCUAUAGAAACAGACAAGUGUUGGAAAGUCUUUUAUUCCAGGUGAAAUACCAUGUUUGAAGGGUUUUAGGCUUAAGAAAGAGGCAGCAUAAUUACAAUAUUUAAUACGACAGCCCUGGUUCUCCUGCACAUUAUCACUUGUGUACAGUUUCGCAUUUGCGGAGUAUCCUGCACUCAUUGCUUCACUCGAUCCUCACUUUAGCUGUGUGAAACAGCUCUCCUCAUUUCCUUUAUCUUUCACUGUAGUAAGAAUGCUGUGUAUGAGCCUGACCCUCAUAGCAGAUUUUUAUGUACAUUCACAGUAUCAUUAACUUUAGGAAAAGACAGAAGGAAAUGAGAAAGGAAACAGGAAGAGAGAAAGAGGCCUUGAGGAGGAUAUGGCUCAGAAGGGUUUGCUGUACUUUCAAAGGAAGUGAUUACAGAAGUGUGUGUAAGGGCGGUGCAGCUCUGGAGUGGCCAUGUGUGGGAAGGCGGAGGGUGGUUACUACAAGGCAGAAGGGACACACACCACUGGCUAUUUGUAGAAAAGCCUCACAUAGAGGGUGACAGCCAGAUAGAACUGGAAACAGACACACCAGUCGUAUGUAAUGAAGAAUGUAUCCAGGACUUUCAAAGAGCUCUUACAACUCAGUAGCACAAAGACAGAUAACCUAACAAAUUGAGCGAGUAUUUAGCCAAUCAGUAGUACAAAAAGUGUGCUACAUCAUCACUCAUAUGAUGACUGCAGACUAGAACCAUUAUGUAGCUACAAAGACAGCUAAAUUCUAAAAAAUGACAACUGGGAAUAGUAGCAAGAAUGUGGAACAAAUGGACCCCCACAGGAGGCCAACACGGAUGUGAUGUGGGACACCCAUUUGGAAAACAGUUUGGCAGUUUCUCAUACAGUUAUUCAUAUGCUUGCCAAAGACCUAGCAAUUCCUCAGUGAAGCAUUUACCACUUGACCCCAAAUAGAAAACUAUGUCUACCCAAAGACUCCAGUUGGAUGUUCAUGAUGUUUAUCCUUAUAGUAGCCACAAACUAAACACAACUCAGAUGUCCACCAACAGGUGAAUAAAUAAACCAAUUGUACUGUUGCCACAUCGUGUAAUACUACCCAGCAAAAACAUGAAAAAGCAAGAGAUCAAUACAUGAAAGUCCAUGGAUGAAUUUAUUUUAAAAAAUCCUUUUCCUGAGUGAAAAAAGCCAGAACAGCAACAAAAAAAGCUCUUAGAUUGAAUUUUUAAUCCAUAGGACAGGAUGAUGUUGUACAGGGCAAUUAUGUGGAGGGAGAAGAAAAUGAGUCCAACACUAACUCUACAGUGCUCCAGCAAAGUGUAUCCCAGCCAGAGGAAAGAGGCCGAGACAGGAAGUGGCCACUGGCUAUUGCACAUCAGGGAACCCUGGCACCCUGGACAGGAGCUGAGAACUGGGGGUACAGUGCAGGACCAGGCAGGUGGCGAGGACUCAUGGGAGGAAGUGAAACCAGCAGCAGGAAGUGGGUACAGAGAGAUCAUUACUGAUGGGGCACCAAGGGAGAAAGAUUUAUUCUUAUUUGCUUGUGUUUUGCUUGUUCCUUUUAAUGCUGUGAUACCUGCCCAUGUUCAUGUGUUGGGAAUGAGAAAACAGAAGUAAGUGACUCAGAAGAAAGAAUAAUUGAAGAACACAGAAUGGAAUUGUAACAAUUUGAAGUUAUUAAAAAAUAGUUUCAUUUUAA